rnacentral:rRNA from 1 species
UACAGAGGUGGCAAGCGUUGUUCGGAAUUACUGGGCGUAAAGGGCGCGUAGGCGGCCAUCUAAGUCAGACGUGAAAUCCCCCGGCUUAACCUGGGAACUGCGUCUGAUACUGGACGGCUCGAGUUUGGGAGAGGGAUGCAGAAUUCCAGGUGUAGCGGUGAAAUGCGUAGAUAUCUGGAGGAAUACCGGUGGCGAAGGCGGCAUCCUGGACUAAUACUGACGCUGAGGCGCGAAAGCUAGGGGGAGCAAACGGG